CUACAAAUGGCGACGACAUAUGUAGUCGCCAUUUUUAGCCACUAUUUAGCGACUAUUUGGCGACAAUUUUACGACUACAAAAAUUUAGUCGUAUAAUAGUCACUAUUUUGCUACUACUUACCGUAGUCGGUAAUUUAGUCGUAAUUUAAUAACUAUUUUAUGACUAUAUUGUAUAACAGAACAUAUAGUUGUUAAAUAGUCGCUAAAUUAACGACUAAGAUGCAACUCAUGGUAAAGGUCGCCAAUAAGUCGUAUAUCAGUCACUAUUUAAGAAAAUAUAAAUUUUCAAAAUUUAACUCCAAAACCUUAACCAAACUCCAAAACCUAAAUUAUAAACUUAAAGUUUAAAUCCUGAAUAUUUAAUUCUUAAUAUUAGAAAUUAUUUCUUAAACCAUAAAACUAAAACAUAGCCAUUCUUAUAUAUACAUAAAACCAAGCUUUAAUGCUUAAAAGAAAAUCUAAUUUUUCAAAACUUAACCCCAAAUCUUAAAUCUUAACCCUAAACCCUAUACCCCCAAACCCUUAACCAAACUUCAAAACCUAGAUCAUCAAAUCUAAAUUUUGAAGUUUAAAUUCUUAAUCUUAUAAAUUAAUUCAAAAACCAUAAAACCAAACCAUAACCAUUAUAUAUAUGUAUAUAACUAAUUUUUCGAAACUUAACCCCAAAAAACUAUAGUUUUCCAAAUCCUAUAUUUUUAUCAACACACUUAACCAUAAACCCAAAACUUAUGCUCAAAAACCCUUAACCUUAAAUUUAAAACCUUUAUAAUUCAUGUAUAGAAAUUAAAUCAUAGAUCAUUCACCCAAAAUAUAGCCAUUGAAUAUCUAUAAAACCAAGAUGUAAAACUAUUUAGUAUUUACAUAUAAAUCAGUCUUUCCAAAAACUAUAUACUUACAAAAUUUAUUAAACUUAGUCAUUUUAAAACCUAAAAAAAAAUAUUUUUAAAUCUAAAUCAAGUCUAAUAUUCUUCUAAAUUUCAAAACCCCAAGUCCCAAAUCAUAAAUUUCAAAUGUCAUUUCCUGAAUUAUGAACCCAGAAUUGCAAAGUAUAUAUGUUUUGAUCCAACAAAUUACUCUUUAAAUAAUGAAAGCUUUUUAUUGGAUGAUAUGUAAACACAUGGAUUACACUAUCAACCGUUGAUUAAUUUAAUCCAACGGACAAGGUUUUUUCCAGCUCUUGUUUCUCUUUCGUCUCCUUCACGAGGGAUUGAUUAACUUUCUCCCCUUCUCUUCUUUAGCCGAUUAACUUUCUCUCCUCCGCCCGCUGUUUCAUUCUAUUCGAUCUUCAUCUUGUCGUUGUUUUCAUCCUCUCAAGUUUUUAGAUCUGGUACCAGAGCAUUUUUGCGGAUCUCAGAUCUCGUAAUUACUCACGCUCUGGAGUAGCCUUCAUUCACUGUCGAAUCCCUGAACAUGAGGAACCUACCCGUAAAGACUACUUCCGAGAACGAACCAAAUUACUUGAUGCUGACCGCUCUGAAUACAACACACCGUCGAAGUGACUCAGGGUUUGGUGGGGCUUCAUCAUACGGAAGCUCAUGUAGUCAUACAUCAAGCAUGAAAAAGGAUAGUGAUGGCAAUGACUCUCCAAGGAAGCUAGAUUUGGAUGGUUUGACUCCUUUCGAGAAGAAUUUCUAUGUCGAAUCGCAGGCUGUGGCGGCUAUGACUGAGGCAGAAGUUGAAGAGUAUCGUAAGCUGAGGGAAAUUACUGUUGUUGAGAUAUUACCAAACCUGUCAAGAGUUUUCGUGAUGUUGGCUUUCCUGAUUAUGUUUUGGAAGAGAUUAAGAAGGCUGGUUUAACUGAACCUACUACGCCUAUACAAUCUCAGGGCUAGCCAAUGGCAAUGAAGGGACGUGAUCUUAUUAGCAUUGCUGAAACUGGCUCUGGAAAGACUCUUUCCUACUUAUUACCUUCAAUCGUCCAUGUCAAUGCCCAACCAAUUAUAGAUUAAAAUGGACACUAUUGAAGUCAGUAACCUGAAUAGGCAAUAUCUAUUUCGUCCUUCUCAUGUUGGGCGCUCCAGGGCUAAGGUAUAUUUGCUUGAGCUAAGUCCAAGGGAAUCCAGUUCAUAAGAGAAUUCAUGUGACCAUAUAGACUCACAGUUGUUAACCAAAGUUGUUUGGGUUUAUUAAAUCGAGUUUAGGAGGUAUAUGUGAGCAACCUGAGCUCAUUCUCCCUCGCUUCAAGGCAAUCUGAGCUCAUUCUCCCUCGCCUUAAGUUCCUUAAGAAAUGCUUCCAUCAGCUCAGCUUCCUUUCUCCUUGUCUCGGUCUUUGCAGUUUGCUUCAGGUCAAAAUCUUCAACAUUCAUCUCAAAAGCAAAAGACUUCUUGGGAAAGCAAAGCAACCUCCUUCUCCGUCGCUUCAAACAUUAACCCUUGAUGUUUGUGCAUUUCCAAUAUUUACUUUCUUUUUUUAGUAGUAUGAUGUAUUCUUUGUAUUCUUAUUUUUAACUAUGUUUUUAGUUUUA